rnacentral:rRNA from 1 species
GGGGGAUGCGAGCGUUAUCCGGAUUCAUUGGGUUUAAAGGGUGCGUAGGCUGUGCGUCAAGUCGGGGGUGAAAUUCCGGUGCUCAACACCGGGGCUGCCCUUGAUACUGUCGCGCUGGAGUGCGGAUGCCGCCGGAGGAAUGAGUGGUGUAGCGGUGAAAUGCUUAGAUAUCACUCAGAACACCGAUUGCGAAGGCAUCUGGCGAAUCCGUAACUGACGCUGAGGCACGAAAGCGUGGGGAUAGAACAGGAUUAGAUACCCUGGUAUUCCACGCCGUAAACGAUGAUGGCUAACCGCCGGCGACACACUGUCGGUGGCCAAGCGAAAGCGAUAAGCCAUCCACCUGGGGAGU